rnacentral:lncRNA from 10 species
AAUGGAGGCACUCUGCUCCGGGGAAACUUCACCAGUGGAGCCUGUAGGUGGAAUCUCAAAGCAAAAAUGCCUUCUGGGUGGGGGCUGGAAGGGGAAUAGGGGAUUUUGGACAGUUGGAUUAAUUUUUCCAUUUGAUACAAACAUCUACUGGGGAACUCCUAGCAUGUUUCCUUAAAAGUCCUUUUUUAAAAAAUAAAUCUCAUUAAACUG